ACAUCUCUUUACAACAGAAAAAAAAAAAAAGCAGCUGGAGUACAGAAUCAACAUCCUAAGGACAACAGAGAGAACCAUCUGGGUCAAGUGGUCCUGAGUUCAAAGAACAUGUGGUCUCUAAGCUUCUCUCUGAAACAAAGUACUCCGUGGGUCCUCAGCAAUUACAUAGCCUCCUGCGGCAGAGCCAGUCACCCGUGUAAAGGGGAAAGAAGAGAGCAGAGCAUCCUCCCAGUACCAGCUCUAAACAGGAAGACAUUAGAAACAAAGGGGCAGCUGUGACAGUAAGAGUGAAUGACGAAGAUUGUCCUAGGUCCCGUGGAGCUUCUGGAAUGACAAUAAAGUGAUAGAGAUUAUUUAAUUCAGACAGCUUUGUUACUGACAAUGAAGUUAAAACAUCAGGCACAAUGACCAGAAGACAGGGCAGUCUGCUGUGAAGCUAUGGAGGAUGCCUCUCCUAUUUAGUUGUCUGUGGUCACCAAGAUCCCCAGGUCCCUGCUCUAUUCUAAGUGAUCCUAAAGUCAAAACGGUUUUUUUCAUAAUACAGCGAUGAUGUGUUUUUCACAGUCUGACAUCCUCACUGAUGGAGGAUGGAGCAAAAGUAACAAUGAGUAGAAUUCCUGGCAUCUUCCCAUCCACUGAGAGAGGCAGGACACCCAAUGUAUUAGUUACCAUGGCUAUGCACUCGCACAAAAACAAUGCCACCACGCUCACCGAAGAAUGUCCCUGAUAAAGCAAAGUUAUCAGUUGUAUUAAAUAUUGGUACUUCUCAAGUAAUCUGUAUAAUAAAACGUGAAUCAUGCAUGAAA